rnacentral:rRNA from 1 species
UAAGGAAUAUUGGACAAUGGAGGCAACUCUGAUCCAGCCAUGCCGCGUGAAGGAAUAAGGCCCUAUGGGUUGUAAACUUCUUUUAGACGGGACAAAACCCCUUUACGUGUAAAGGGUUGAUGGUACUGUCAGAAUAAGCAUCGGCUAACUUCGUGCCAGCAGCCGCGGUAAUACGAAGGAUGCAAGCGUUAUCCGGAAUUAUUGGGAUUAAAGGGUGCGUAGGCGGACUAAUAAGUCAGUGGUGAAAGCCUGCAGCUUAACGGCAGAAUUGCCAUGGAUACUGUUAGUCUUGAGUACAGUUGAGGUAGGCGGAAUGUGUCAUGUAGCGGUGAAAUGCUUAGAUAUGACACAGAACACCGAUUGCGAAGGCAGCUUGCUAAGCUGUAACUGACGCUGAGGCACGAAAGCGUGGGGAGCAAACA